UUAAACAUAAAAAUCAACUGUCAGUCCUUUGUUGAGCACCUGGUAACUUUAACACAGUUACGAUUCUGCUAGGCUCCAUUCGUUGUGUACAUAAUCUAGCUAUAUAUUGUUUAAGCGUCUGAGCUUGACCACCAGUCUAACAUAUGCUUUUAACUUCCUACAUAACACAUGCAUAUUAGUUGCUUUUAUGAGUCAUAGCAUUACACAAAUGAGUCAUAGCAUUACAUUUGGGGUCAUUCAUAUUCGACAUUCAUAUGGUUAUUAUGGGCAACCUUAACAGCUUUUCUACCCUGCUAGGUUCAAUCCAUUGUAAAAAAAAAAAAAAAAAACUAUGAUUAAUAAAGUUUAGGUGUCUAAUAUAUGCUUUUAAAAUCAAUAGCUUCCUAAAUGAUCACACUAAUAACACAGGCAUAGUUGGUUUCAAGUUCAAGAGCUCAAAAGAUGAUGCAUUAUGCAAAUGAGCCAGAAAAGUUCAAGCUUUAGUCUGAUCUGUCUACUAUAAUAUUGUCAUGUCAGAUAAUCACAGGAACAUAUUUUGAGGGGAAAUAAAAAGGUUAACUUCACUUAGAAUUAGUAUUAGUUCUAUUAAUAGCAUUCACGUGUACAAAUUUGGGGUGUUUGCAUAGGAACUCAAAUAUAAAACACGAGGGUUAUCUAAUCUAAAACAGCACUCUCUGUCACUGAAACAAUCAGAGGUUUAAAGAUGAAACAUUCAAAUGCAGGAAGCACGAGCGUGGGGUUUAGACGCGGCUGGAAAAGCCUCUGAAGAAAAAGAAGAAAAAAAAAGUCACGAUUUUGCUGGAAUUGAGCCACCCGGCUGUGACGUCAGUCUCGGAGACGUAAGUCAGCACGAGCGUGCAGAAGAACGGCUCGAGCAAAUGAAGCAGCAAGCAUGGCAUGCACUAUAAUAAUCACGAGUGUACUGUGCCGCGAGCCUCCGAUGAACGCUGCUCACCUGUAACGGGAAGGACGCGGAUUUAUUUCCCACGUAUCCUCUCACGACGUGACUCUGGAUCGACAGAACUCGGCACUCCAUGUCGCGCGCAGUUAAAGCGCUUUCAGACGCUCCAGAAUGUCACGCGAUUGUGGGGCAGCGGCGAACCGGAGAGGCGCUUCUCUUCCCCUUUUCACAUCCAAAUUGGGAUCCGUGAUGGCAAGUUCUCUAGGCAGCCAGAGAAAUGAAGGACAUUCACACCGGAGACGCUCAUUGGCGGCGAGCGCAUCUACUCAGGCAUCCUGAGGGGGCACCUAAAGUCCGCUGAGUGACAUCACGACGGCGCUCGAAACCGUGGCUAUAUUUAUCAUACGUUCAGGUAGAGAAGAAUGGGCUGAUCAAAUCAUCAUGGAUCAAUCACGUAAACCCAGAAGAAAGCCUCAAUAAAUCCAGACUGCAUCGGAAAUUAUGGGUAUCAACAGAUGUUGCAAUUAUAUUAAAGAUAAAUGUAUGUA